CCGCGAUGAGGGAACUCCAAGUGCCUAUGCAAGAAGGCGGUUCAGAUGCCUAAAUAGCAUCUGGAGUAAGGGCUGGGCAAGUCUGGUGCCAGCCGCCGCGGUAACACCAGCAGCCCGAGUGGGGGUCGUUAUUAUUGGGCCUAAAGCGUCCGUAGCCGGUUCAGUAAAUCUCUGGGUAAAUCGACUAGCUUAACUAGCCGAAUUCCGGAGAGACUGCUGAACUUGGGAUCGGGGGAGGGUCGAGGUACUUCUGGGGGAGGGGUGAAAUCCUUUAAUCCCAGAAGGACCACCGGUGGCGAAGGCGUCGACCUAGAACGACUCCGACGGUAAGGGACGAAACCCUGGGGCGCAAACGGGAUUAGAUACCCCGGUAGUCCAGGGCGUAAACGCUGUGGGCUUGGGGUUGGGUGUCCUACGAGGGCAUUCAGUGCCGUAGAGAAGUUGUUAAGCCUACUGCCUGGGGAGUACGCUCGCAAGAGUGAAACUUAAAGGAAUUGG
rnacentral:rRNA from 1 species